GCCAAACCCAGCAUCACACUUUGACCUGCCCGGGAACACAGUGGCUCCUGGGAAAUAACCACUAAAGUCUUGAAAUGUCUUGAGUGAUUGGAGGACCUUUAUUUUUCACGCCUGAUGCCUUAUGCUGAUGAGAUGACUCAGCAGGGGAUGGCCAGGCCAGAAAGACCAAAACUGUAUCCUGAGGUUUGAGUUUCUGAGCCAGGUGAUGUCAUCCUCCAGCUUGGCCGGCCUCUUUCUGGGAGCCUCUGGUGUGAAAGAGAGCAGUGCUUGCCUUUCCCAU
rnacentral:lncRNA from 1 species